rnacentral:lncRNA from 10 species
CGGAGAGAAACCGCCAAGCAGCCUUUGUGAAGAGGGAGGGGUGCUGGAGAAGGGCUGGGAACGGCAGGGUAGGAUUUGGGGCUUGGAGUGGGAAGUAUCCUAGGUCUGAGGACAGCAAGUCCCGGGCCUGUGGGCUUCUGGGCUUAGGCGGGAGGGUAACAGAGACCGAAUGGGUGCAAGAUUACUUGGGUGGGCUGAAGAUGCUCUGCCCAGCCCAGGCCAGGCUGGGAGAGCCCCUCCUUCACCCACCUACUGUGACUAAAUGCCAGGCACUGGUGACACAGCUGUGACAAGACAGGCCUGGUCCCUGCCCUCACAGAGCCUGCAGGACGGGGGGCGGAGGGGGGUGGGCAGGAAAUAGCAGUGACCAGGAUCUAAGGGGGUUGUUGAGGUGUGUUUGGGGAGGGAGUAGGGCAACUUUCUCAAGGGGUCCAGGCCACUGCCCAGACUCCAGACUCCCUGGGAUGGGGAGACUAGACUGGAAGGAGCCAUCGGGGAAUAGGGAUCAGCUGAACCAGGGCAAGGGAAGAGAGUGGCUACUGGGGGUCACAGGGCAAGAGCAGGGAGCUUCGAGCUGGGGGAUGCCCAGCCUGAGCCUGUGGGAGGGGAGAGUGGCACCCUGUGCCCUGGUCACAGAUGAGGCUGGGAGGGGUGUGUCCUAUUUUGAAGAAGAGGCCUUGCUUUGGCAAAGGCUGUAGUUGGGAAGAGAGGGAGAGAGAUAGAGAGAAAGAGGCAGGGAGAUAAAGACAAAGGGAAGAGAGAAAGAGAAUUAUUUUGUCUCUACCCUCAGGGACAGUGUAAUCUUGGUGGAAAGUGAAAAUGUGCCAGUGUACAAGUGCACACACACACACACACACACACACACACACACACACACAAAGACUGUUACCAUAAGGUUGUCAGCAACUGGAGCCAAGGGAAGCAUCCAGAUGGCUGAGCCUAUAUGACCUUGGGCAAAUACUUAACCUCCCUAUACCUCAGUUUCUUCAUCUGUAAACUGGGAGCAAUAUUAGUAUUGACCUCAUAGGGCUGUUAAGAGGAUUAAACACAAUAAUCCUUUUGAAGCAUGCAGCAUAGUCCCUGGCAGCUAGUAAGGUCUCACAAGUGAUUGUUGUUGUUGUCAUUCAUCAUGAUCAUUAAUAUCAGUUGUCAUCUGCUGGAAAAGGAGGGAUUAGAAAAGGUGGGAUAUGGAUAGGCACAGCCAAGACAAAUGCGCGGGAUGGGAAAAGCAAUUCAAGCUGGAAAAGAAAGAACUCGUGGGAACAAAGGUGAAGAGGUAGGAGGGUGAGAUUCUAAGUCCUCACUACUCAAAGUGUGGUCCAAAGACUCACCAGCAGCAGCUGCUCCUGGGUGCUUGUUAGAAGUGCAGAAUCUUGGACCCCAGCCCAGGUCUACUCACCCAGAAUCUGCAACUUUUCAAGCUGUUCAGGUGAUUUGUUUGCUUGGGGGAGUUUGAGAAGCACAGCUAUCAGCCAUAACUCAUGGGAGUGAACGAUGCUGGUGCCACAGUGGGAGCAGCAGAGAGAAGGCUACAGAGGGAUGGGGACCAAUCAGUACAUGUCCCUGAAAUAGUUCCACGUGCAAGUUACUGCCCAGGAUUCAAUAUUUGUUAUAAUUUUUCCCUUUGAGGUAAAACCUAUAUACAAUGAAAUAUAUACAUGAACUGUACCUCUAAGUUUUAACAAGUGCAUCUACCAAUGUAAACUUGGACUCCAGUCAAGACAUAAAACCUGACCAGCCACCCAGAAAGUUCCCUCAUACCUCUUCCUAAUCGAUCCCUGCUCCAGUCCCUAGAGGCAGCAGUUGUUUUGACUUAUUUUCUGCAAUAUAAAUUACUUUGCCAGUUUUAGAAUUCCGUACCCAUGGAACUGUAUGAUAGGUACUGCUGUGUAACCCUUCAUUUAUGCAGCAUAAUGUUUUUAGACACAUCUGUGUCACUGUAUCAGUCAUCUGUCCCUUUUUAUUGCUGUGUGCUCUUCCGUUGUAUAGGUAUGUCACAGUUUGUUUAUCCACUAUGCUGUUUCUGAUUUUUGGUUAUUGUAAUUAGGCUGCUAGGAAAAUUUCUGUAUGUCUUUUUGUGAACAUACAUUUAUAUUUCUCUUGGAUAAAUACCUAGAAGUGGGAGUGCUAGGUCAUAGGGUAGGUUAUGUUUAGUUUUAUAAGAAACCACUAGCCCUAUUCCAGAGUGGCUGUACCGUUUUAUGCUUUUACCAACUGUAUUAAUCAGCUCAAGCUGCCAUAACAAAAUACCAUAGGCAGAAUGGCUUAAACAACAGACAUUUAUUUUCUCACAGUUCUGGAGGCAGGAAGCCCGAGGUCAGGGUGCCAGAGUGAGGGCUUUCUUCUAGCCAAGAAGGCCCCUGCCAUCUUGCCGUGUGCUUACAUGACCUUUUUUUUAAGUGUGUGAGUGGAGACAGAGAGAGAAAGAGAGAGAGAGAGAGGGUGCUCUUUAGUGUCUUUUCUUAUAAGGACAUUAAUCCUAUUGAAUCAGGGCCCAGCCUUUAUUACUUUAUUUAACCUUAAUCUUAACUUUAAUGGUCCUAUCACCAAAUACUGUCACACGGGAGGUUUCAAGAUAAGAAUUUUGGAGGGACACAAACAAUCAGUCUGUAACACCAACAAUGUGUGAAAGUUCCAGUUUUGUCAGGUAUUUUAAUUUUAGCCAUUCCUGUGGGUGUACAGGAUAUUUCAUUGUGGUUUUAUUUCCCUGAUGACUAAUGAUGCUGAUGAUCUUAUUUUUUCCAUUUAAAAAAUUGCAGUAAUAUACACAUAACAUAAAACGUACCAACUUAACCAUUUUCUUUUUUUUCUUUUUUUUUUUUUUUGAAACAGGAUCACACUCUGUUGCCCAGGCUGGAGUGCAGUGGUACGAUCAUGGCUCACUGCAGCCUUGACCUCUAGGGCUCAAGCAGUCCUCCUGCCCAGCCUCCCAAGUAGCUGAGCAGCUGGGACACAGACAAACAAAAGCAGAGAAUUCACCACCACCAGACUCAUCUUACAAGGAAUGCUAAAGAGAGUUCUUCAACCAGAAGGAAAAAAACCACCCCACGAACAUGCAAAAAGAAAACACUUGAAGGUAUAAAAUCCACUGGUAAAAUUAAAUACAUGGACAAACCCAGAAUAUUCUAAUAUUGUAAAUGUGGUGUGCAAUUCAUGCAUAACUCUAGUAUGAAACCUAAAGAGCAAAUCUAUCAAAAACAAUAUAGCUACAGCAGCCUACUAAGAGAUAGGCAGUAUAAAAAUAUGUAAAUUGAGACAAUAAAAAGACAAAAUGUGAGGAGGAUGGAGUUCAAGUGUAGAAUUUUUUUCAUUUUUGUUUCUAUUAUUUUCUUUGUGAUCUAGAACUUUGUGAUAAGUUGCCACCUCUGUAAAAUGACUUGUUAUAUUUAUAAGAUGUUUUCUGUAAGCCUCAUAGUAACCACAAUGCAAAAACCUAUAAUAGAGUCACUGCAAAUAAAAAGCAAUGAAUUAAAACAUACUGCCAGAGAAAACCACUUAACCACAAAGGAAGACAGUAAGAAAGAGAGAAAGGAAGAGAGGAGUUACAAAACAACCAAAAAACAAGCAACAAAAUGGUAGUGGUAAGUUCUUACUUAUCAAAAUAACACUGAAUGUAAAUGAAUUAAAUUCUCCAAUUAAAAGGCAUAGAAUGGCUAAAUGGAUAAAGAAACAAGACCCAACUAUAUGUUGCCUACAAAAAAACCCAUUUCACCUAUAAAGACACACAUAGAGCCCAGGAGAUUGAGGCUGCUGUGAGCUAUGAUCGUAUCACUGCACUCCAGCUUAGAAGACAGAAUGAUACCUUUUUUUUUUUUUUUUUUUUUUUGAGAUACACAUAGACUGGGCUGGGCACGGUGGCUCAUACCUG